rnacentral:rRNA from 1 species
UACGAAGGGGGCUAGCGUUGCUCGGAAUCACUGGGCGUAAAGCGCACGUAGGCGGAUUGCUAAGUCAGGGGUGAAAUCCUGGAGCUCAACUCCAGAACUGCCUUUGAUACUGGCGACCUUGAGUCCGGGAGAGGUGAGUGGAACUGCGAGUGUAGAGGUGAAAUUCGUAGAUAUUCGCAAGAACACCAGUGGCGAAGGCGGCUCACUGGCCCGGUACUGACGCUGAGGUGCGAAAGCGUGGGGAGCAGACAGG